AGCAGCCGCGGUAAUUCCAGCUCCAAUAGCGUAUAUUAAAGUUGCUGCAGUUAAAAAGCUCGUAGUUGAAUUUCGGGACUAAUAUGUCGGUCGUGCCUCGGUACGUACUGGUAUUUUUGGUUUCUCCCUUCUGACGAACCUUGAUGUCAUUAAUUUGGUGUCUUGGGGAAUCAGGACUGUUACUUUGAAAAAAUUAGAGUGUUUAAAGCAGGCUCACGCUUGAAUACAUUAGCAUGGAAUAAUGAAAUAGGACGUUUGAUUCUAUUUUGUUGGUUUCUAGGAUUGACGUAAUGAUUAAUAGGGAUAGUUGGGGGCAUUAGUAUUCAAUUGUCAGAGGUGAAAUUCUUGGAUUUAUUGAAGACUAACUACUGCGAAAGCAUUUGCCAAGGAUGUUUUCAUUAAUCAAGAACGAAAGUUAGGGGAUCGAAGACGAUCAGAUACCGUCGUAGUCUUAACCAUAAACUAUGCCGACUAGGGAUCGGAUGAUGUUGAUUUUUUAAUGACUCAUUCGGCGCCUUACG
rnacentral:rRNA from 1 species